rnacentral:rRNA from 1 species
UACAGAGGGGGCAAGCGUUGUUCGGAAUUACUGGGCGUAAAGGGCGCGUAGGCGGCCUUCUAAGUCGAACGUGAAAUCCCCGGGCUCAACCCGGGAACUGCGUCCGAUACUGGAAGGCUUGAAUCCGGGAGAGGGAUGCGGAAUUCCGGGUGUAGCGGUGGAAUGCGUAGAGAUCCGGAAGAACACCGGUGGCGAAGGCGGCCUGCUGGGCAGUGGCUGACACUGAGGCGCGAAAGCGUGGGGAGCAAACAGG